CGGACCAACAGGGUUUGCGGAAGGACACGACAUAUAAGCAUUCGAUAGCAUUAAUGGACAAUUAAGGUGAGUAAUUACUCUAUCAUAUGUAUUGCAUUUAUGGUUGAUUUACGAGAAAUAUCAAUCAAAUCACAUUGGAUAUAAUGUAAUUAACAAAUCAUGGGACAUAAAGUAUACUGCAUUAAAUGACAUUUAAUGGGUUGGACAAUUGCAAAGCCUAUAAAC
rnacentral:lncRNA from 1 species